CCUACGGGAGGCAGCAGUGGGGAAUAUUGCACAAUGGGGGAAACCCUGAUGCAGCGACGCCGCGUGAGUGAAGAAGUAAUUCGUUACGUAAAGCUCUAUCAGCAGGGAAGAAACACUGACCUUACGGUCAGCAGACGGUACCUGAGUAAGAAGCCCCGGCUAACUACGUGCAAGCAGCCGCGGGAAGACAUAGGGGGCAAGCGUUAUCCGGAUUUACGGUGUGUAAAGGGGGCGUAGGCGGUGCGCCAAGUCUGGAGUGAAAUGCCGCGGCUUAACUGCGGAACUGCUUUGGAAACUGGCGAACUAGAGUGCGGGAGGGGUAAGCGGAAUUCCUGGUGUAGCGGUGAAAUGCGUAGAUAUUAGGAGGAACACCGGUGGCGAAGGCGGCUUACUGGACCGUAACUGACGUUGAGGCUCGAAAGCGUGGGGAGCAAACAGGAUUAGAUACCCUUGUAGUC
rnacentral:rRNA from 1 species